UUGUGCACUUGUUUUGGCUCAAAGUUAGAGUCUUUGGGAGUUUGGUUGCUUGUUAGGUUUCUAAUUGGAAGAAUUUUAUUAUUAUUAUUUUUUUGGACUGAGUUAGGUCAAAAAAUAUUUUGAACACGAACCAUGAGGGAUGUUAGUUUUCCAUAAUUAAACUCAUGAAAAGAGUCAUAUUUUAGAGAUGAAGAGAAUACCGACCGAGUAACAUGGAAUGCAUUAUGAAACCCAAUUUCAUACUUGGUGAUGCUUGGUAUACUUAAAAGCCCACAGCGGGACACCAGAAACAGGCCCCACUGCCUAUAAAUUGGAUCAAGAGCCCUCCGACAAACCGAGUCCCAGCGCCAACGCUUGUUAGGGUUUUCUCGGUCUCCGCGGCUCCUCGCCCUUCAGCUUCUUUGGGCGAGAAGCCCUUUUUACAAUUCUUCCAUGUUCCCUUGAUUUUUUUGAUUUGAUCUCUAUUCUCUCCUUUCCUCCUGUUGGAAGAUCUUAUGCUAAUUUCUUAGAUUACAGGGUCAUACAUCGCUUCUCUGAUAUUUGCUAAGCUUUUCUAUGGUUUCUGUUAGUGAAUGAUGUUGUUUUCAUCCAUUGUUUAUUUUAGCUGUGUUUAAGGAUGGCCUAAUAUUGCAAUUGUUUGCUGUUGGGUUUUGGGUGCAGCAAGGAAUCUAUCGUUAGGCCAAAUGUUUCUCCUUCCUUUAGCUCCGAAUCAUCCUUUCUAGGGUUUUUCGGUGACAAGGUUGAUGGUGCUAGUUAAGAAUGUGGCACUUGCGGUGGAUAUAUUCUUUAUUUUCUAAUAAAAAUAAAAAAUUUGGGGAAAGCGGUUGAUUCUUUGAAUUUGUUGUUACAACCACUCUGUCAUCUUAUCUACACUCAACUUAUAAUGUUUGGAGAAAUUAAAUUGAUUGAGGAAUGAGACUGAACUUACUUCAGCAUGCCAUGCGUUAGAUAUUGGAUUAUAUGUUGAAUGCUGCGGAAUCUAACAUUGUCCUUCUAUAUAUCUCUUCUAGUCAAAAUGGGUCAUAACUCAUUUGAGUUUUUGUUCAAGUCAUUUUUUUAUAAUUUAGUUCAAUCUUAACAUAGUCAUAUUUUAAGAUGCAGAGCAUAAAAUGUUGACAUUUGUAUGGAUUAAACCUUCUGUUUUUGGUAACUCUUUUCCAAAAUGUGCAAAUCCUACAAUUGUUUGAAAUAUGAUCAAACUCUUUCGACCCAUCUCCCAUCCAUCUUAUCUUGUCAGAUUGGAGUAACCCACUAGUUUUUGCUUGUGAUGACCAUCUAAAUGGUAAAAUAAUCUUUAAUAUGAAUGGUUUGAAGUUUAGCACCAUGUCGUGAAACAUAAUCUAGAGUUUUACAUGAGAAAUUGUAAUGAUUUAAAUUGCAAUGACAGUCCUUUAUCCAAUUUAUACCUAUGAUGCCUGUUUAACUUGAUGAUCCCGAUGGCUGAUUUGAACUUUCUUUUUGCUAACCCUUUAUUUGGAUGCAGCAAUAUAAAUCCAUUGGAAUCUAUCCCAUUUGUCUUGUCAUCCACAGGUAGUCAGUUUUGAUUUAAACUCAAAAUGUUGCAAAAUCUAUUCAACCAACCAACCCAGAUGGUACAACCAUCUUGUUAUUUUAAAAAAAAUUGUGGGCAAAUUUUUGUUAUUUGUUAGCUGUUUGCUGAUAUUAAACUUUUGGAAGGUAAAAAUUAGAGUCUUUAUUGCAUGCGCUAGAACGGUUGUUGAUGCUGCCAAUCUUUGAGGCACAUUCCUAUGGGCUUAAUUUUCGAGAUCAGCACACAAUGAAUGUAACCAAUGUAAUGCACCUGGGUGAGUGGUGGCAUGUAAUGAAUGUUACGGUUUCAUAGUCUAGCUUGGACUAUAGACAAUUUGGCUCAAGCCAAUAAACUAUUAAUGUUAGUUUUUUGUAGAAGAAAAUUUUAGAGACAUUCACUUUUUUAGAGAGUUGUAUAUUGAUUUUUUCUUUUUGAUACAUUGUUGUUUUUUGAUAAUUUAUUAAGAUGAAGCUCAGUCCCAUGGCAUCUCAUGGCUAUUCUCCUUCUUGGAUAAACGUUAUAUCAGUUAAGCCUAGUUUAGUCCAAUAAACUUGUCCCCUUAUCAUGAAGCUUAGACUAAUUGAGAGCCCAUUUGAUAUUGUUUUCAUUUUUUAUUUCUAUUUUCAAAAUCCCAAGAAGAAAGCAUAAUAGACAAACAACCUGCAUGAUAGAAACCAUUUUGCAUUUUCAAAUUUGUUUGAUAAAAACUUUCUCAGACUUUGGAAACAUAAACUUAUUGCUUUCAAAAAUAAAUGAAAACAUAAUGAACGUAUAGUUUGAGUCUCAUGGGAAUGCUGUCAGCCACAUCAAGCUCCAUGCUACUUUUUGCUAAUUUGUGGAUAAAGAAAGUCACAAAAAUGAUAAUAGUAUCAAACAGAUCCAUAGUGUUUAAGCUAGUAUAGCAUUUAGGUUUGGUAACCGUGACUUGCUUUCGUUGAUAAUUGCUAUGCGUACUCUAGAGUUGUAUUCUAGAGUUUUUAUGUUAUUGGCUGAUGAAUUGUCUUGCUUUUCAAGGCUUAGUUACCAACCUUCCAUUCAAUAGUUGAUCAUAAAAUCUAGCUUGCAGCUUUUCAAUAGACUUGCAAGGGCCCUCUGGUGGAGAACCUCCGGAGGAGGAGGAGGUGGAGAACCUUCGGAGGCACUUCGCGAUGGUCCUCAAGUUGUCGGAGGACUAAUCAAAGCCGGUAGGCAGCCUUGGGAGAAAGUUGCAGUCGUUAUUUGGAGCCUUGGUCGAUGGGUUCUGUUGAAGUGGGUGCCUUGUGAGGUGGCGGCGCAUGGAAAGCUUUAGUAUAAGGUGGAGGUGUCUCCCCUUGCCGACGACCAUUUGGUGGUUAGGUUCAAAUUGGAGGAGGAACGGGACACACUCUAUUCGGUGGCCCUUAGGUGGUGGCGGGUGAGCUGUUGGCGGUGGAGCCAUAGGCUCCUGACUUCAUCCCUAGCCUGGACGUUGUCAAAUCGGCGGAGGUGUGGCUGUGGAUGUUGAAGCUCUUGGUGGAGUACUGAGACAAGGAUAUAAUCUUGCAGAUCACCUCAGCUGUAGUUCAAUCGUUAGUCAUGGAUGGCUUUACCGACUAGUUGAAGAAGUUGGAGCUAGGGUUAAGUUGGCCAUUGAUGCCAAUGAGCUAUUGAUGCCGGAGAUUCAAGUUAAGAGGAGGAAUAAGGUUUUGGGGUGGCCUUUCAUGUACGAGAAUGUUCUGGAUUUCUGCUACCAUUGUGCGUGAAUAGGGCAUGCAGAUGAAGAGUGAAAUUUUCAGUGCCGGAGCUAGCGGUGGAGUUGUAAGAUUUGCAGGAGCGUUCAAGGUCCAUGGCUCCAAUGGUGGUGGAGGUAGGCGGAGGCUAGGGGAUUGGUGGCGAACUUGAUACCAGCUUGGACGAGCAAGGUUUGAGGCCUAUUUUUGGCCCUUGGCUGACAAUUGCGAGGAUCCGGCCGUAAAUGGCUAUGAAGGGACUGCCGAGGUGGCGAACCUGAUACCAGCUUGGACGAGCAAGGUUUGAGGCCUAUUUUUGGCCCUUGGCUGACGAUUGCGAGGAUUCGGCCGUAAAUGGGACUGCCGAGGAUGAGGAAGAUGACUGAGUAACGUUGGAGUUGUCAAGGCUGGGUUCCUCUUCCUCACGGGUGAGCUUCCCCUCCAAUCGUCCUAGUUUUCUUAGUUCGUCGUCGAACUCGAAUGGGUGGCAGAAGCCGACGAAGGUAGUGCAUCAGCGAUCGCCCUCGAAGGACUAGGUGAUCGUUGAUGGCGAUGACUCGGGUGCUGUGGAUGAGCAAGGUUGGAGGCCUAUUUUUGGCCCUUGCCUGAUGAUUGCGAAGAUCCGACUAUCAUAGCUUUGAAGGGGUUGUUGAGGAUGAGGAAGAUGACCGUGUAACCUCGAAGUUGUCAGGGUCGAGUUCCUCGUCCUCACGACCGAGCUUCCCCUCCAACUGUCCUAGUUUUCUUAGCUCGUCACCGGACUCGAAUGGGUGGUAGAAGCCGACGAAGGUAGUGCAUCGACGAUCGUUCUCGAAGGACCGGGUGUUAGUUGAUAGUGAUGACUCAGGUGCUAUGGCAACUUAGGUGGGGAUCCGAAUCGGGUCAGGGUUCGACCUGUUGAGAGACUCGACUGACUCGAUUGAGGAGACUGGCGGGGCCGGGCCAGGGACGAGCUAUCUGGUGCAUGGAACUAUAGGAGGGCAGGCAAGCCCCCUUUAUUUCCUCAUUUAGGAGACUGAUUCGGAUGUAUGGCCCGGUCAUUUGUUUUUUGUGUGAAAUUCAGCUUUCUAGAGACAGCCUCCUUCAAACACGGUGUCGGUUUCUAGCGACCUGGGAUUCUUAUGUCAUUGAAUCACUAGGUUUAUUGGGGGGUAUCAUUGUUUUGUGGAAGCGGGAUGUAGCCACUGUGGAUUUUUUCUAUAACUGCCCCCAAUAAGUUGUAAUAGUAAUUUUGGAACAUAAUGAACCUCCUUUGAUUUUGUCGAAUGUGUGUUCUGGUACCGACUUCAGAGUGAGGAGGGCCCUAUGGGGCGAGGUGACUAAUCUUGUUGCACAAGGUAUUCUGACCUUGAUUGCUGGUGAUUUUAACUACAUUUAGGGGCCCAUGGACGAUAGAGGAGGCAAUGCCUAUAGUGACAAAGUCGAAAGAAGGGAGUUUCAUGACUUCACGGGGGCUAAUGGGUUGGUGGAUCUUGGCUUCUUUGGAUCGAGGUUUACUUGGUACAACCAUUUUGGUCAUGCCAGAGUAUGGCAGAGGAUUGAUAGGGUUAUAGCCUCGACGAGUUGGAUUCAACACUUUUCUAUCUAUUAGGUUUAUCACCUUUUUCAGAUCGCUUCAUAUCAUCGUCCGCUCUUGAUUAGCAUUGUUUCUAGCACUUGUCACCACAACCCAUUUCGCUUUGAGAAGAUAUAGUUGUCGAAUCCAAAGUCUUGGGACAUCGUCCGUGGGGUGUGGGGGAUUUGGUGCGGGAGAUGCUAUGCGGAGGGUCACCUACAAAUUGGAGCUCACUAAGUGGAGGUUGCGAAGAUAGAACUGGAAGGUAGCGGGUGAUAUCUUUAGAAGUUUCAAUGAGGUGAUGCAUUUGUUGCUGACCUUUAGGGAAUAGAGGAUAAUAGUGGUGUCUUGUUAGAGGAGGAGCUAGCUGAUUUUCGACGAAAAUUGGCUACACAUCAUUUUUUUUUGCGGCAUGAGGAGGUAUUAUGGCGGCAGAAGUCAAGAGUUCCGUGGAUUAGAGAAGGGGACAUGAACAUUAGGUUCGUCCUCUGAUCUACCAUCAUCAAGAGAUAGAGAAACUUGGUCCGAUUGUUGAGAGAUGAGUCUGGCAAAGUGUGGAGGAGGCGAGCGGGGUUAGAUAGGUGAUGUUCGAUUUUUUCAGAUCCAGGUGGAUGGAGGGCUGCGAUCGAGAGGUGGCCAACUAUUUUUUGCCCCUAGAUGUUGGGGUUGGGGAAGCAGAGAAUGCUAGACUCGUCGAGUCGGUCUUGGAGAUCGAGGUGGUGGGGAGGGGCAUUUUGGGCCUUGGUGGAGGAUAAGCCCACCGCGGUACACCACUCAAUCUCCUCCGAUUACAACAAAAGUGUACAAACAUGAAGAUCCUCAAAAACCAAGAGAGACAUUUUGAUGCUCCUAUCUACUGAGUAAUACCCACUGAGUAAUAUGGAUGCAUUAUGAAACCCAAUUUCAUACUUGGUGAUGCUUAGUAUACUUGAAAGCCCACCGCGGGACACCAGAAACAUGCCCCACUGCCUAUAAAUUGGAUCAAGAGCCCUCUGACAAACCUAGUUGUGAUUCCAUAGGCUAUUCAAAUUUUCUUCUUUUUAGGAACUAAACAAUCUUAUAUCGCUGCAGUGAACCUAAUGUAUACCUUGGUAACUCUCAGCUUAAUGUACUCUACUUAUGCCUUGUUUUACUUCCAGCUUAUGGAUCAUGCCUAUGUUUUCUGUGGUAUAGUUUCUCCUCUGCAUAUAUAUGCACACCCAUUUAAUUCUCCAGAAAUUGGAUGGAGAUAAACUUUUAACUGUUUCAUUAUGGAAGCAGAAGCCUACGUCCCAUAACAUUCCUAAUGCAGGAUCAGCCUGCAGCAAGAAUUUUGGAGCUCUGCAUUCUUCACCUUGCAAUGGCAGAAGUAACAGUGCUAGGAACAAGGCACCAGAUUGUCAUAAAUGAGGCGGUUGAUCUUGCAAAACGAUUCUAUGAUGGCUGUGCUCCUAGGAUUAUCAAUGGAUGCCUCUGGACUUUUGUCAAAGAUUUCAGUGCAAUGGAUGCUGUUCAGUCUUUGGAUCAUCAAAAGCUUGAAAUUUAAGGACAUCUUUAUAGCAGAUCGGAGUGGAAGCAGCGGCAAAAGUUAAAGAAAUCCUCAUUCUAUUUGUCAAAGGCUAACGGUCAUGUAAAGUGGGAGUAGGGAAAACUGCAGGUUAAUUGUGGUGAUCAAAAGGACUUGAUAAAUUUCCAUUGGUUACUGGGAGAACCAAGGGUGAGGAGAAAACGAAAUGUACUUGGCCUUAGAAAUGAAUCACGAGAUCCAUAUUUUUAACGCAUGAUUAGAACCUUUAGUUUUAUUUUGAUGAAUAUUGUGCCCACAUCUGUAUUACAAAAUAAUUCAGACGAAUGCAUUGUAGAUUCUGAGUUUUUGUAUUACUGAUACCAUAUUCACAUAUUUGCAUUUUGUUGUACAA